AUUGAACGCUGGCGGCAUGCCUUACACAUGCAAGUCGAACGGUAACAGGUCUUCGGAUGCUGACGAGUGGCGAACGGGUGAGUAAUACAUCGGAACGUGCCCGAUCGUGGGGGAUAACGCAGCGAAAGCUGUGCUAAUACCGCAUACGAUCUACGGAUGAAAGCGGGGGAUCGCAAGACCUCGCGCGGACGGAGCGGCCGAUGGCAGAUUAGGUAGUUGGUGGGAUAAAAGCUUACCAAACCGACGAUCUGUAGCUGGUCUGAGAGGACAACCAGCAACACAGGGGCUGACACACGGCCCAGAUUCCUACGGGAGGCGGCAGUGGGGAAUUUUGGACAAUGGGCGCAAGGCGGAUCCAGCCAUGCCGCGUGCAGGAUGAAGGACGUCGGGUUGUGAACUGCUUUUGUACGGAACGAAAAAGUUCUCUCUAAUACAGGGGGCGAAUGACGGUACCGUAAGAAUAAGCACCGGCUAUCUACGUGCCAGCCGCCGCAGUAAGAC
rnacentral:rRNA from 1 species